GGCUAUGUGACCUCCAUGGUGCUUGGAGCAGGAAGUGGAGUGUUCAAGUGUGGCAUGGCAGUCGCCCCUGUCUCUGAAUGGAGAUUUUAUGAUUCCAUCUACACAGAGAGGUAUAUGCUGGAGCCCAAAGACAACCAACACUUCUACGCCAAUUCCACAGUAACUGAAAGAGCCAAGAACUUUGCAUCUGUCGAGUACCCCC